GACGAACGCUGGCGGCGUGCCUAAUACAUGCAAGUAGAACGCUGAAGGAGGAGCUUGCUCUUCUGGAUGAGUUGCGAACGGGUGAGUAACGCGUAGGUAACCUGCCUGGUAGCGGGGGAUAACUAUUGGAAACGAUAGCUAAUACCGCAUAACAGUAGAUGUUGCAUGACAUUUACUUAAAAGGUGCAAUUGCAUCACUACCAGAUGGACCUGCGUUGUAUUAGCUAGUUGGUGGGGUAACGGCUCACCAAGGCGACGAUACAUAGCCGACCUGAGAGGGGGAUCGGCCACACUGGGACUGAGACACGGCCCAGACUCCUACGGGAGGCAGCAGUAGGGAAUCUUCGGCAAUGGACGGAAGUCUGACCGAGCAACGCCGCGUGAGUGAAGAAGGUUUUCGGAUCGUAAAGCUCUGUUGUAAGAGAAGAACGAGUGUGAGAGUGGAAAGUUCACACUGUGACGGUAGCUUACCAGAAAGGGACGGCUAACUACGUG
rnacentral:rRNA from 1 species